CAGUCGCCGCGGGAAUACGUAGGGUGCAAGCGUUAAUCGGAAUUACUGGGCGUAAAGCGUGCGCAGGCGGUUAUAUAAGACAGAUGUGAAAUCCCCGGGCUCAACCUGGGAACUGCAUUUGUGACUGUAUAGCUAGAGUACGGCAGAGGGGGAUUGAAUUCCGCGUGUAGCAGUGAAAUGCGUAGAUAUGCGGAGGAACACCGAUGGCGAAGGCAAUCCCCUGGGCCUGUACUGACGCUCAUGCACGAAAGCGUGGGGAGCAAACAGGAUUAGAUACCCGAGUAGUCCCUGUCUCUUAUAA
rnacentral:rRNA from 1 species